AGCAGAAAUAGCUCAGUUGGAAAGAGCACUAGUGGUGCAAUCACUUAGAGGUCCCCGGUUCGAUUCCAGGUUCAGCUA